UCUCUUUAUCUAUCUGUCUGUCUCUCUCUAUCUCUCUAUCUCUCUCUCUAUCUGUCUGUCUCUCUCUCUAUCUGUCUGUCUGUCUCUCUCUCUGCCUGUCUGUCUGUCGUCUUUGUUAAUCAGUCGAUCAACAGAAGAACAGUAACAACCUUUGUUGAUAAUGAAUAUUAUUUCUAUAAGAAGAAGAGACCAUGCUGUGUGUUUUUAGCCUCUCCCAUACGGAGCUCUCCUGAUUAGUUUUCUGUUUUUAUAUCUUUGGGUUUCGGACCGACUGAAUUUGAGACAUUUUUAAAAAGAUGAACUGAUGAAGAAAAUAAUCUUCAGUUUAAUCAGUAAUGAAAUGAAUGGUAAUCCUUUCUUCUUCUCAGUGUCAGAUGUAAUUAUUGUAUUAUUUCUAUGUAUUAUUUUAGUCUUUUGCAGGCUGUAAAGUCUUUUGAUCGUUGACUCGUCUGUAAACUUUAAAUCAUAUAUACGCCUCAAACUGUAAAGCUAAUGAAGAGUCUGGACCAGGUUCUGGACCACGUUCUGGACCAGGUUCUGGACCAGGUUCUGGACCAGGUUCUGGUGGAGCUGUGCUUCUCUAACUGCCUGAUCCCAGAUCUAAUAAACUAACCAUGUGAACCGCUCGUA